rnacentral:tRNA from 4 species
UCCGGGGUAGCUCAGUUGGCAGAGCAACGGACUGUUAAUCCGUGUGUCGUGGGUUCGACCCCCACCCCCGGAGCCA